GGCACCUGAGAGGUCAAGACUUACCUCCACACCAGAGGGCAUUUUCCAGCUUCUUCCCUGGCACCAUCUGCAGGACCAGGGUGGAAGUAGCUCUUCCUGACUCCAGUUCAAUGUCAGCUUCCAGAGUGGCUCCUGACUUUUUGUGGCUCAGCCACGGGAUGGGUGGAAGGAGUGUGUAAAAGGUGACAACAGAGAAUCGAGGAUGGAAGGCAAAGCACCAGCCCUAGGCAGAGCUCCAGCUCCGUCCAAGCUCCAGUUUUAACGUCUGGCUUGACAAGAACUUCCAAAGCCCAGUAUACAUCUCCAGGUGGACAGAAGAUACUGAAAAUUUCUGUUGGUUCUGCAGCUUCAUCACCCUUGGUGCAUUUCUGCUGAACAGGAAUUAUCAGCUUCAAUAUGGAUCUGUUGGAGCCAGUCCAGGGGCUAACCCUGAGGAUGAACAGAGGGCUGGAGGAAAGACAGAGAGAAUUGGGUUUGUUGGAGAAGACAAGGCUCCAGAGAUACAUCGGAGCAUCUUUUCAGUCCCUCUAAGGGGCCUACAAGAAAGAUGGGGACAAACCUUUUAGCAGAGCCUGUUGUGCCAGAACAAGAAUAGUUUUAAAUUCCAGGAGGGUCAAUAUAGACAGGUUAUAAGAAAGAAGACUUUUACCAAAAAACCUGGGGCACUGGCAGACAUUGCCCAGAGAAAUGGUAGAUGCCCCAUCCAAGGAAACAUUGCAGGUGAGGUUGGAUGUGGUUUUAAGGUCCCCACCAACUAAAACUAUUCCAUGAUUACAACAGCCCUUGCUUUGUCUCCCAGGUGAGGGCUCCCACUCAUGUCCUACUGAGUAGGGGAAUGUUUUCCCACCAAGCUAGUGGUUUGAUAAACCCAGUAAUUUGUAAAUGUAAUCUUUUGAUCCUAGACAUUUUCCUCCUAACCUUCAUUUCCUUCCUUUUUU
rnacentral:lncRNA from 1 species